AUAUUCAAGUUCCCCAAUAAUUUCAAUAAUUUCAUCUCGAUCUUACCCCCAAUUUUCCCCCAACCCUAACCCUAGAUUUCCUCUUCCAGAGAGAGAGAGAGUACCAUGGCAAGCGACGCCCAAGAACCCACCCGUUGCAAGCACCGCCGUUCCUCUCCCGACGGCGACGCAGAAGAGCCCUCGAAACGCCGCAAGCACCGGCACCAUCGUCACCGGCACCACCGCCGCCACAGCAGCCGAAAGCACGGAGAAGAAGAAGAAGUCCAAGUCGAAGACGAAAGAAAACGGGAGGUAGAAGAAGAGGUGGGGGAGGUUACUCUCCCUCUCCCUCUUCCGUCCUCGAAUUCGAGACCUAAUUAUGAUGAUAUGGAGGAAGGGGAGAUUGUCGAAGAAGACGAGGACUUGGGCGGAGUUCGGAGUGAAUCCGAUAAUCGCAAUUCGGAAAUUCACAUAGCUCAUGAUGAGUAUGGCCUUAAAUCUAGUCAUACUGUGGAAGGCAGUUUGGGUAGAAGUUUUCUUCACUCAAAGUUGUCAGAGGAGGACAAGAGUGAUGAGGUUUUGGUGAUUAAUGUGACCCCAACUGAAAAUUUUAUUUCGAUUGAUGGUAGUAAAAUCCCUAAAGAGGUUGGUUUGCUGGGGAAUGCAAGUUCUGAUCUUUGCAUGAAUGGUGAUAUUGGACUGGAAUCUAUUAGGGAAAACUAUAUGCCAGAUACAGGGUCUGAGUCCCCUCCUCUUGAAGGAAGCAUCAAGGUAAGGAGCUACUAUGAUGAUGACAUUGAUUUGAGGGUCCAUAUGAAGUCCUUGACGUCUGAAAACAAUGGGGACAGGCAGAAAAAUGUGCCAGGCUCACCUUUAAAUGCCAAAUUGUGUGAAGAGGUUCUUGGUAGGAAUAGAUCAAAGUCGCAUGAUGAGGAAAGGGGAAGGUCUGGGUCGCAAAGUGUUCUAGAAAAGGCUUCCCUCAUGAAAAAAACAAAUCAAAGGGAUUCUCCACAGUACCCGGAUAACAGGAGAAGUAUUUGUGAUUCUGAUGAUGACAAAAUGGUUGGACAGAAUAGAGAACACAGACAUGAGUAUAGAGAUUUGUUUGGGGAUAAAGAAAGGGAACGUAGUUCUAGUUAUGGCAGAUCUACUACAAGGCGAGUGGACCGGCACCACAGCCAAGACACUUGGGACAGAGAUAGGGAGGGUAGUCGGGAGACUUGGAACAGAGAUAGGGCGGGUAGGGACAUGGAUAGGGAUAGAAAAAGGGAGAGGGAACAGAACCGGGACAGGGACAGGGAGAGAGGAAUUGGUGGGGCCAAGCAUAGAGAUAGAGAUAGAGAGAGAGAUAGAGAUAGAGAUAGAGAUAGAGAGAGAGAUAGAGAUAGAGAUAGAGAUAGAGAGAGAGAUAGAGAUAGAGAUAGAGAUAGGGAGAGAGAAAAGGACAGGGAAAGAGAGGACAGAGAAAGGGUGAGAGAGAGGAGGAGGGAGAGCGAGAAGGAGAGGAAAUGGCAUAGGGAGAGCGGAAGGGAAAGAAGUAGAGACAGAGAAAGGGAUAAAGAAAUGUCUACCAGGCAUCGUAUUUACGAGAAACACGCUGAUGAUGGUUUUGAUAAUCGAGAUAGGUACUAUGACUCCAGGCGUAGGAGACGUGAUGAAACAGACCACAGGGACGGGGCCAGGAAAAAUGAUCCACAAAAAACUCAUUCUGCUAAAAUUGGUACUCUGGCUGAGCAUGAAGAGAAAUCUAAAAGAGAUAAAGUUGAACAAGAUGAGUAUCAAGAAAGGAUGGUUUUGCAACUUGAGGAGCAGGAAGAGGAAGAAGAUCUUAACAGAAUCAAGGAGGAAAGUAGAAGGCGAAGGCAAGCUAUCCUUGAAAAAUAUAAAUGUAAGCAGUUAAAUCAACGACACGAGCCUCAGUCGGAGGAUAAGGGUACAGACGAUGUUGAACAAACUUCUCAGGUGGCAGCUACCGUCAGUGGUACUCCAGAAACUCUUGAUGACAGGAGUGUAGGUGUCGAUACCUGUGUUACUGACUUAUCAUUUAAUGUGGGAAAAUCUCCGCAACAAAAUGGGAUAUCUUCUUUCGAGAGGACUUGUGGUGCUGGAGGACUGGGAGAGGGUACUCCUAAGAGUGAAAGGUCAGAUGAUAUCUUUCGGGAUGACAUUUUUGGAGAGUCGCCUGCUGGAGUUCGUAAAACAGGGAAAGGAGAUGGUUUGGCAAUUGAAAGAAGUGGUAUUCAUGACAAUUGGGAUGAUGCUGAAGGGUAUUAUAGCCACCGGUUUGGUGAAAUACUUGAUGGCCGAUAUGAGGUUACUGCUGCUCAUGGAAAAGGUGUCUUCUCAACUGUAGUGCGUGCAAAGGAUCUUAAGGCUGGACCUGGUGAUCCAGAAGAAGUGGCAAUUAAGAUAAUACGUAACAAUGAGACCAUGCAUAAGGCUGGUAAGGAGGAAUUGAUCAUAUUAAAGAAGCUAGUUGGUGCUGAUCCUGACAACAAGCGCCACUGUGUUCGUUUCCUUUCGUCUUUUAAGUACCGGAAUCAUCUUUGUUUAGUUUUUGAAUCCCUUCAUAUGAAUCUGCGUGAGGUCUUAAAGAAGUUUGGUCGUAACAUUGGGCUUAAAUUAACUGCGGUGCGAACUUAUGCGAAGCAACUUUUUAUUGCUCUAAAGCAUCUCAGAAACUGUGGUGUUCUUCACUGUGAUAUAAAGCCGGACAAUAUGCUGGUAAAUGAAGCGAAAAAUGUGCUGAAACUUUGUGAUUUUGGUAAUGCCAUGUUUGCUGGUAAAAAUGAAAUUACGCCUUACCUUGUGAGCCGCUUUUAUCGUGCCCCUGAAAUAAUUCUGGGCUUGUCUUAUGACCACCCAAUGGAUAUUUGGUCAGUUGGUUGUUGUUUAUUUGAGCUCUAUACCGGGAAAGUCCUUUUCCCAGGUGCUACAAAUAAUGACAUGCUUCGCCUUCAUAUGGAAUUAAAAGGUUCAUUCCCAAAGAAGAUGCUCAGAAAGGGAGCUUUUACAGAACAGCAUUUUGACCAGGAUUUGAAUUUUCUUGCCACAGAAGAGGAUCCUGUUACAAAGAAGACUAUGAAGAGGUUGAUCCCUACAAUCAAACCAAAAGAUAUAGCUGCAGUAUUUACGAGCUCUCCUGGUGAGGAUCCGAAGAUGCUAGCCAAUUUCAGAGAUCUUCUGGAAAAAGUUUUUGUGUUAGAUCCAGACAAGAGGAUAACAGUAUCACAGGCACUGAGCCAUCCUUUCAUCACGGAGCUCCGGGGACAGCUCUUGGCGUGGUGGAAGUUGGAAGAGAAGAUGUUUGGUGUGGAGAGUCUGGAGACCUCUUGGCGGUCCUUGCAGUGGAAUGUUUUCUGUUUCUAUUGAGAUUCUACCAGUGCUAUGAAGCAACCAUUCAGUGCUUUAGAUGCAUAAAAGGCACUCUGGAGAAGGACUACGCGCAGGAGGUGUAUUGCUGCAGCCUUGACGUAAAAUUACUUUUCAGGGUCAUGUCUCCAUUCCGCCACACAUUGCUUUGAGAAUGCCAUGAUGUUCCCACCCCUGAAUCACCAAGGCCUGCCUUGUGGGGUUUAAACCUUAAGUUGGAUCUUUGCUGUGCCCAAGAGAUAUAUCACUCGAGUAUGGAGAUGGAUUGCGGGUGGUGAUCCUGUGUGGCACUUCGAUUUGAGAUGCGUCUCUGUUAGAAAUAAGUUUUUAAUUAGAUCCUUCGUUGCAUUGUUGGAACUUGGAAAUGAAAUCCCGUUCUAUACCAAAACAAAAACAAGCCUCGUGCCAGUCUAUUGCACAUAUUCCCUUUGUCAUUGGUUUAUAAAAAUGGUAUGCUGUCCUGGGGCUGGAAUAAUGGAAUUGUAAUUGAGGUGAAGUGCUUUGGUUGGGUUGUCAAUGGGACUUUUGAAAGAAGAAUUUUGGUAACAGGGUGCUUGCAACUAUUAAGUACCACUGACUGAUUGCUAUGCAAUGUCUCACAUGCACUUGGAUAAUGCCUGGGGUGAGCCAAGUAUCCCAACAGUGACCGAUGGGUGGGCCUAUUUUGCUAUUUGUUUUUGUGUGUUUUUUGUGGUUUGGUUUCAAAUUUUAGCAUUCAAGACAAUACUGCGACUCUGCGAGUCUUGGAUCUGGAUUGUAGCAUUGAACAGCUGAUGAUGCUCAGAGUGAAAUUAUAUGUUCACCAAGGAUUUGACGUGUACUAUUUGUUAAUGAUUGAUAUCUUUCUGUGGUUUCAAUGCGUACAGAGGACAUUUCAGUAUGUCCCAUUUGAAGGGGGAUAAAAAUAAAAGAUAGAAAGAGUUUGCAGAGGCUUUAUUGACCUGCCUUUCUUAUAGAAAAAUUAUUAAGUUGCAUCCUUUACUUUUUUUUUUACCCGUAGAGAAUACGAAGUGUUGGAUUUGAUGUUAAUGCUUUUAUGUGUAAAAUUAUAUUAGAUUCUAAAGGAGUAAUUGACAUUUUUUUUCUGUAUAUUUCAGCAACACAAUCUGUUGUAUGAGACCUUAAAUAUUACUAACAUUUGUAGUUUGUUGCUCA